AUCCUCCAAGGCUAAAUACUCCUGAUUGACCGAUAGUGAACCAGUACCGUGAGGGAAAGGCGAAAAGAACCCCGGCGAGGGGAGUGAAAUAGAACCUGAAACCGUGUACGUACAAGCAGUGGGAGCCUUGAUUUAUCAGGGUGACUGCGUACCUUUUGUAUAAUGGGUCAGCGACUUAUAUUCUGUAGCAAGGUUAACCGUAUAGGGGAGCCGUAGGGAAACCGAGUCUUAACUGGGCGAAUGAGUUGCAGGGUAUAGACCCGAAACCCGGUGAUCUAGCCAUGGGCAGGUUGAAGGUUGGGUAACACUAACUGGAGGACCGAACCGACUAAUGUUGAAAAAUUAGCGGAUGACUUGUGGCUGGGGGUGAAAGGCCAAUCAAACCGGGAGAUAGCUGGUUCUCCCCGAAAGCUAUUUAGGUAGCGCCUCGUGAACUCAUCUUCGGGGGUAGAGCACUGUUUCGACUAGGGGGUCAUCCCGACUUACCAACUCGAUGCAAACUACGAAUACCGAAGAAUGUUAUCACGGGAGACACACGGCGGGUGCUAACGUUCGUCGUGAAGAGGGAAACAACCCAGACCGCCAGCUAAGGUCCCAAAGUCAUAGUUAAGUGGGAAACGAAGUGGGAAGGCUCAGACAGCCAGGAUGUUGGCUUAGAAGCAGCCAUCAUUUAAAGAAAGCGUAAUAGCUCACUGGUCGAGUCGGCCUGCGCGGAAGAUGUAACGGGGCUAAACUAUGCACCGAAGCUGCGGCAGCGAACGUAUCACUUAAACUGAUUAAGUGAUACUCAAAUGUAUCAAAACGAUUGACGGAGCGAAGCGACGUCAAUGCGUCCAACAAAGUCGAGGCGGAAACGUCAGGCAGUCAGUUUAAGGAUACGUUCGUUGGGUAGGGGAGCGUUCUGUAAGCCUGUGAAGGUGUGCUGUGAGGCAUGCUGGAGGUAUCAGAAGUGCGAAUGCUGACAUAAGUAACGAUAAUGCGGGUGAAAAACCCGCACGCCGGAAGACCAA
rnacentral:rRNA from 1 species